rnacentral:rRNA from 1 species
CCAAUAGCGUAUAUUAAAGUUGUUGCAGUUAAAAAGCUCGUAGUUGAAUUUCGAGAUCGGUUUAUUGGUCGUGCUAUUGUACGUACUGGUAUUACCGGUUUCUCCUUUCUGACGAACCUUAAUGCCAUUAAUUUGGUGUUUUGGGAAAUCAGGACUGUUACUUUGAAAAAAUUAGGGUGUUUAAAGCAGGCUCACGCUUGAAUACAUUAGCAUGGAAUAACGGAAUAGGACGUUUGAUUCUAUUUUGUUGGUUUCUAGGAUCGACGUAAUGAUUAAUAGGGAUAGUUGGGGGCAUUAGUAUUCAAUUGUCAGAGGUGAAAUUCUUGGAUUUAUUGAAGACUAACUACUGCGAAAGCAUUUGCCAAGGAUGUUUUCAUUAAUCAAGAACGAAAGUUAGGGGAUCGAAGACGAUCAGAUACCGUCGUAGUCUUAACCAUAAACUAUGCCGACUAGGGAUCGGAUGAUGUUAAUUUUUUAAUGACUCAUUCGGCGCCUUAC